rnacentral:tRNA from 2 species
GCCCUCGUAGCUCAGCAGGAUAGAGCACAGGAUUCCUAAUCCUGGGGCCGCAGGUUCGAGUCCUGCCGGGGGCACCA